rnacentral:lncRNA from 1 species
GCUCUACAGUACGUUACGAUAUGGUGAAGUGAAAAACAGGCUUAAGCUUUAAUGAGAAAGCUGUGGAUUGAGAGGGAUACAAAAUGAUACAACAUCGAAGUUCUGCUUGUAUUUUUCAGGUAGUUGUAUCCCUCUCAAUCCACAGUUGUCUUGUUAUCGUCGCUACCUUCACUGACACAGACCCUUCCAGAUUAAGUUUUGAUGUUUUAAAUACGGAAAUAGUUUUUUUUAGAAAAAGAAGACGUUUUUAGACGAUUG